GGUGGAUAUCAUAAGUGAAAAAGGGGAGUAACAUAAGAUAAUAAAAUGUGGGCAUGUUGAGUAAAUAUAUUUGUAGGCCUUCGUUACAAUAGAUAGACUAUGGCACGAUACGUUUCGAAUAGUUGUUUUCCCGUUUUACUAAAAUUUUCGGUAGCCAUUAUAAUUUUUCCGUAACUAAGUUGAUCUCAAACACAUUUUUACCUUUUGUCAGUCAAUUAUAAGACGUGGGUUAUUUAGAUCCAUGUUCGGAGAUAGACCUCUAUCUCACUAUGUCUUUCAUCCACUUCUGGAAAAGCAACGGCUGACUUCGUCGUCAUUUGGGACAGGCGCCGCUUAAGGACGGAAGGAUUGUCGACUCAAGAGAGAUUUAAAAAAGAAAAAGAGAAAUUCAGAACUGAAAUUUUUCAGUCCCGAAGUCUUAAUUUCUGGAAUUGGUUGAGCUACUUUAACGUGGUUUUCGAAAUACAAUAACCGUCAUUCACUUUGAACACUUGGCCGUUUUACGAUAAGUGCCCGUGUUAAACGCACACGACUCAGACCCGCUUAUUCUGGUCUACCAUAUAAGCUAUUUCUUAUACAUUUAUAUCGCUUAAUAGCUAAGAAAAUUUUCUACUUAGCGAUGAGAUUGAAAAAAAUUUCUGAUUGCUGGUUUUUCCGUCAAAGUAAAAUCCAGCUUCCUUUAAACACGGUGUUUCUUACAUGUUAGCUUAUGGAGAAAGGGUGUUUUUGAUUCUUUAAUUGUAUACAAACGGCUUGAACCAUUUGCAAGCCGUUUGUUGACAUUGAUGUGGAUUUCAUUUCUCUGUAGAUGCUAGAAGUCCCCUGGUACUAACUUCUGAUAUGAAUUCCCCGAAUUAAUUUUUUGCCGACACGUGGUUAAUUUUAAGCGAAUUGGCGUGGUGUCCUCCCUCUGGCAUACUCCCAGUACCACCCUCUGAACCUUUGUUCAGUGCGCGCUUGUAAGUACAAGGUAGACGUUGUUACGAUCUAAAGCUUUUUUAUAGCUAAUCCCAUAAGAGCCCAUGUGAAAGUAGUCUACAUAGCUACACACCAGGCCAGCGUUGUCAAUAGCAGACCAUUCCAGCGUUCGUCCUAUUUGCGCCCUCUCAUGUAUGCAUACCAUUAAACUCCUAUACCAUGGUAUUUUUCAUGGUUUUGUAAUUUGGCGCCACGCAACCGACAUUUUUUCAAGAUUGCGCCGGGUCUAUCGGUUUCACCGGGUAUUUUGAACCGAAACGAACCGAUUGAAAACUACCUAACCGGGGCGAAACCGAUCAGCCAUUUUUUCGGGUAGGUUGGUGCGUUUUUGGGGGCCGAGCCCUAGUCCGAACUAUUGGUGGCACUGGCAACCUAGUUAUGGUUUUAGUACCUAGUUUUGACAGGUAGAACUUGCCGCGGCUUUUCUCUAUGUGCUUUGUGUAAUCUCCCAGUUAUUGCCACUUUAAUUUUAAAAGUAUGGUCCAUUUUGGUCAACCGUAACAAAAGCGGCUGUAAUGGAAAUCAGCCGCACCGAUUCAUAUUUGUCCAAACUAGUACCUAGUUAUCCCACCAAUAGUCCGCUCCAAACAUUCCACGGGAUAAGCUUUGGAGAUUUAAGUUGGGUGAACCGUGGGAAAAAGUGUUUGGCUCCACCUAUUUCCACGGUGAUUUCCACGCCAAACCGCUCCACGCUCCAACUACAAGAUAUACACCGUCUCUGCAACUUCCGAUUUUAGACGGGAUAGCGACAUUUGGGCUAGUUGCCUAAAGGACUUCAGGUUUUCGGACACUUGGACUUUUGUCCCUCGACACUUGGACGAGUGGUUCGCGACAUAAGGACAUCUGUCUAGCGACAUUUGGACUAUUGGUUCCCGACGUUUAAGCGCGUCAAUGAAAUGUUGCUGAAUCCAGCAAGUCCUAUACUUUGCAACAAGUGAACUCUGUGGCAGCGACCUUUGGACUCUACAACAACUAGAUUUUAGAUAUUCUUUCAACAUGGCCUUUAACGAAAACUAAACUGUAAUUUAUGAAUUAGUCAAGAAUUUUGUGAAAUCAAAAGAAUGUUUUGCCCACUUGAGGACCUACGUAAAACAGGACAGUUUGGUAAUGCAAUCUGCAAUUGGACACGAUUGGGGUCUAGCAAAACCUUAGUAGUAUGGCUGACUGGCUGUGGACCUGUGGGGCUGUGGCAAGAGUUACUAUAAAUCUGACUGAAACAAACAUGGUUACCCAUGUAUGUUCCAUUUCAGAAUACAAGGGAAAGAAGUCUGACGAACAUGCGUAACCAUGUAUGUUCCAAUUUAGAAUACAAUUUUCACAUAAUGAAUCCUUCAGCUGAAAUAAAUCUGAAAAUCCAUGCGUCACUGGAUUGGGAGUUCCUUUGUCGCUGAAUCACGAGUCCCUAUGUCGUAGAGAACACUCCAAAAGAAAGAAAACAAAAACAAAAACAAAAAGGAUACCCGGGAGUCCCAACACAAACUCCAUCCGAGAACAGACUAUGGUCCGAUCUCCACCAGUCAAAAGAUCAGAUGAUCUAGCGGCAGAGAUCAGAUCUAUGUCAAAUCUAGGCUUGUACAGUUUUCUAUCAGGCAGCAAUUUUUAACGGACAUAGGUUCGUCCAAGGAUAUUUGUGUAUUAUUUAUUUUCAUUUUCAUAAUUGGCGAAAAGAAAAAAAAAGAAUGACAAAUGUGAAAUUGUUAAAAAUAUAUCCAGUUUUGUAUUCCUUGAUCGUAAAUAUACGUAGUUUUAAAUACAAAAUGAGAAAAAUAA